GGAGACUCGUCGGCACUUUCCUUCCAAUGCGACCAAAAACCAGAUAAAUCCUCCUGUCGUGCCUUCCAAUCCUUCACUCCCUUUCUUUUGCUUGUCUAAAAAUUCCGUUUGGCAGAAGUUGCCGACAUCUCUGUUUGGUGUUCAUUGAGGCCCUCUUCUCAGUUUUUCUCUUUGCAUCACUAUCUUCACCAGGUUGGUUAGAUCUACACUUCUUUUUAUAGCCCAUUUUUUUUUACAGUUUUUCGAUACCUGUUUCGUUCUGUAUUGUUCAGCUCUUGAUUUUCUGAAUUCUAGCUGAAAUUUAAAUUGGAUCUUUGCUUAUACACUCGUUUCGUGAUCUGGGUCUUCCAGAUCUGGCACUAUUCGCCACAGAAAUCCAAAAUGGACCAUUUUUCUAAUUUUAAGAUCUGGGUCUUGACCCUUAGCUUGAUUUUCCAAUCUGUAUAUGGGUUUUACCUUCCGGGUAGCUACCCCCACAAAUACAACGUCGGUGAAGCUUUAUCAGUGAAAGUGAAUUCCAUUACUUCUAUUGAUACCGAGAUGCCAUUUAGCUAUUACAGUCUACCCUUUUGCCAGCCUGCAGAGGGUAUCAAGGAUAGUGCUGAAAAUCUCGGUGAGCUCCUUAUGGGAGAUAGGAUUGAGAAUUCCCCAUAUAGGUUUAAGAUGCAUGUGAAUGAGAGUGAGAUCUUUUUGUGUCGAGCUGACCCCUUAUCUACUGAGAACUUUAAGCUUUUGAAGAAGAGGAUUGAUGAGAUGUAUCAGGUUAACUUGAUUCUUGAUAAUUUGCCGGCAAUAAGGUAUACUAAGAAGGAGGCAUACUUGUUGAGGUGGACAGGAUAUCCUGUUGGAAUUAAGGUUCAGGAUGCCUAUUAUGUUUUUAACCAUUUGAAGUUUAAAGUUCUUGUUCAUAAGUAUGAGGAGGCCAAUAUGGCACGUGUGAUGGGGACUGGAGAUGCUGCCGAGGUCAUUCCAACAAUUGGGAAUGGAGGAUCUGAUAUUCCUGGGUACAUGGUUGUGGGAUUUGAAGUAGUUCCUUGCAACUUCAUGCAUAAUGUUCAGUCCGUGAAGAACUCGAAAAUGUAUGGCAAAUACCCAUCUCCAAUUAAGUGCGAUCCAACCACUGUGGCUAUGCCAAUUAGGGAGAAUGAGCCAAUUGUUUUUACCUAUGAGGUCACCUUUGAGGAGAGUGAUAUAAAGUGGCCAUCGAGAUGGGAUGCCUAUUUGAGGAUGGAGGGGUCAAAGGUCCAUUGGUUCUCGAUCAUGAAUUCUCUGAUGGUUAUCACCUUCCUUGCUGGUAUUGUACUUGUCAUUUUCUUGAGGACUGUGAGGAGAGAUCUGACCCGUUAUGAGGAACUUGACAAGGAGGCUCAAGCACAGAUGAACGAGGAGUUAUCUGGGUGGAAACUUGUUGUGGGUGAUGUUUUCCGUGCCCCAACCAAUGCCUCACUUCUAUGUGUUAUGGUUGGAGAUGGAGUUCAGAUCCUUGGGAUGGCGGUUGUGACAAUCUUGUUUGCUGCUCUUGGAUUCAUGUCACCAGCUUCCCGUGGAACUCUCAUUACAGGUAUGCUUAUAUUCUACAUGAUUCUCGGUAUUGCAGCUGGCUAUGUAGCAGUUCGCCUUUGGAGGACUAUUGGAUGUGGCGAUCACAAAGGAUGGGUUUCAGUUUCCUGGAGGGCUGCCUGCUUUUUCCCUGGUAUUGCCUUUUUUAUCUUAACGAUUUUGAAUUUCCUACUGUGGGGUAGUCAUAGCACAGGUGCCAUUCCAAUCUCUUUGUUUGUCGUUCUGAUUCUGCUCUGGUUCUGCAUCUCUGUUCCCCUUACUCUUAUUGGGGGAUACUUUGGGGCAAAGGCACCCCAUAUUGAAUACCCAGUUCGAACCAACCAGAUUCCUAGGGAAAUACCAGCUCAAAAGUACCCAUCUUGGCUUCUCGUUCUUGGUGCCGGAACUCUUCCCUUUGGUACACUUUUCAUUGAGCUCUUCUUUAUCAUGUCUAGCAUCUGGAUGGGCCGUGUUUAUUAUGUUUUUGGGUUUCUCUUGAUUGUUUUUAUCCUUCUCGUGGUGGUUUGUGCCGAAGUGUCUCUUGUUUUAACUUACAUGCAUCUCUGCGUUGAGGACUGGAAAUGGUGGUGGAAGUCCUUCUUUGCUUCUGGUUCAGUGGCCAUCUACAUUUUCUUAUACUCCAUUAACUAUCUGGUAUUUGAUCUCAAGAGUUUAAGUGGGCCAAUCUCUGCAACGCUAUACCUUGGUUAUUCUCUUCUAAUGGUUCUAGCAAUUAUGUUUGCAACGGGAACAGUUGGAUUCCUUUCAUCGUUCUGGUUUGUGCACUACUUGUUCUCUUCAGUGAAGCUUGAUUGAACUGUAAAGAAGUUUCUUCGACCAAAAAAUUGGCACUUAUGGAGAGUAGCGUUAUAACUGGGGCAGAAAUGAUCGUUGCCCAUUACAAUAGUCUAUCUGGUUUUACUUUUGAGUUCACUUUCCUAGGGAGCUUACCAAAAUGUAAUAACAAUAAUGUCAACCUGUUUUUGCACUAUUCUUUUAUUAGAUGGGUGAUCUUGGCUUUGAUAGUAUGAAUGUGAUAUUAAAAAUUAAUUUUAGUUGGUGGGAUUUCUGGUAUUUUAUUUCUGUGCUAUAGUUUUGUAUGGGUUUCUCUUACUUUUAUUUUGAAUAAUGGAUGUUGGC
rnacentral:misc_RNA from 1 species